GACGAACGCUGGCGGCGUGCCUAAUACAUGCAAGUCGAGCGGACCAAAGGGAGCUUGCUCCUGGAGGUUAGCGGCGAACGGGUGAGUAACACGUGGGCAACCUGCCUGUAAGACUGGGAUAACAUCGAGAAAUCGGUGCUAAUACCGGAUAAUAAAAAGAACUGCAUGGUUCUUUUUUGAAAGAUGGUUUCGGCUAUCACUUACAGAUGGGCCCGCGGCGCAUUAGCUAGUUGGUGAGGUAACGGCUCACCAAGGCAACGAUGCGUAGCCGACCUGAGAGGGUGAUCGGCCACACUGGGACUGAGACACGGCCCAGACUCCUACGGGAGGCAGCAGUAGGGAAUCUUCCGCAAUGGACGAAAGUCUGACGGAGCAACGCGCGUGAGUGAUGAAGGCUUUCGGAUCGUAAAACUCUGUGUUAGGGAGAACAAGUGCCGUUCGAAAGGGCGGCACCUUGACGGUACCUAACGAGAAAGCCACGGCUAACUACGUGCCAGCAGCCGUACGG
rnacentral:rRNA from 1 species